rnacentral:rRNA from 1 species
AUGCAAAGCUUGAGACCGGGGGAUGUAAAGAGUACGGUUAGGGUACCGGUAACAUGGGUUGAUCCUUUCUGGAAUAACAACAGCGAAGACACUUUACAAGAACGGAUCUGACAGUCAGGGAUGAAGGCUAGGGGCGCAAAACGGAUUAGAUACCCGUGUAGUCCUAGCAGUAAACACUGCACACUAAACAUUGGGACCUCUUCGAGAGGUCUCAGUGCUGUAGGGAAGCCGUAGAGUGUGCUACCUGGGAAGUAUAGUCGCAAGGCCGAAACUUAAAGGAAUUGGCGGGGGAGCACUACAAGGGGUGCGGCGUGCGGUUUAAUCUAAUUCAACGCAGAAAAUCUCACCAGGAACGACGGCAGAAUGAAAGUCAGGCUGAAGACCUUACUUGACGAGCCGAGAGGUGGUGCAUGGCCGCCGUCAGCUCUUGCCGCAAGGUGUCCUCUUAAGUGAGGUAACGAGCGAGACCUGUGCAUACAAUUACCAUCGACUCCUUUUGGAGGAUCGAGUACAUUGUGGGAACUGCCUUGGAAACAAGGAGGAAGGUGCAGGCUACGGUAGGUCUGUAUGCCCCGAAUUCCCUGGGCUACACGCGCGCAACAAUGG